CCCUUAGAUGUCCUGGGCCGCACGCGCGCUACACUGACAUGUUCAACAAGCCUCCUAGUUCGACAGGAUUUGGGAAAUCUUUGAACGCAUGUCGUGAUAGGGAUAGAUCAUUGCAAUUAUUUAUCUUGAACGAGGAAUUCCUAGUAAACGCGAGUCAUCAGCUCGCAUUGAUUACGUCCCUGCCCUUUGUACACACCGCCCGUCGCACCUACCGAUUGAAUGUUUCGGUGAAGAUUCCGGAUAGGACUUUUUUGAUUUAUUUCAAUUUUGUCUUAAAAGCUAUCUAAACCUCAACAUUUAGAGGAAGGUGAAGUCGUAACA
rnacentral:rRNA from 1 species